rnacentral:rRNA from 1 species
AGAGUUUGAUCCUGGCUCAGAGCGAACGUUAGCGGCAGGCUUAACACAUGCAAGUCGAGCGACAAAGGGGCUUCGGCCCUGAGUAGAGCGGCGGACGGGUGCGUAACACGUGGAUAAUCUGCCUCGUGGCGGGGGAUAACAGUCCGAAAGGACUGCUAAUACCGCAUGUCAGGUCGGAAACCCCGGUUUCUGACGAAAAAGAGGGCGCCCGCAAGGGGCUCUCACCACGAGAUGAGUCCGCGGCCCAUCAGCUAGUUGGCGGUGUAAUAGACCACCAAGGCUAAGACGGGUAGCUGGUCUGAGAGGAUGACCAGCCACACUGGGACUGAGACACGGCCCAGACUCCUACGGGAGGCAGCAGUGGGGAAUAUUGGACAAUGGGCGAAAGCCUGAUCCAGCCAUGCCGCGUGAGUGAUGAAGGUCUUCGGAUCGUAAAGCUCUGUGGGAAGGGACGGAAAAAAGACCUAACCUAAUACGUUAGGUCUUGACGGUACCUCUUAGCAAGCACCGGCUAACUCCGUGCCA